AAAGCAGGGGACUGCGGAGGAGGCCAAAGUGCGGGACUGGGCAAAUUGUUGGCCCCAGAGAGCUACCAGGAUGAUCACAGGACACAUGACAAAAGCAAAACCACCAGCAAAGCAAAACAAACUCUGCAAAUCAUAAAAGAAGCGGGACAGUCAACAAUGUCAAUGUCACUCACCGUCCCAGAGCUGUGGGGCGAGUGUCAGGUUUGUGCACAUAGUAUAAAGAUCAAGGACCCACAGAAGGAUCCAGUUUGAGCCCCCAGCUCCCCACCUCCAGGAGGGAUGGUUCACAGCAGUGAAGCAGUUUCCCAAAGAGGAAAUGGAGACACACAAAUCAGUGUCCAAGGCCGCAGGACUUGGAAGGCAUUCUGGCCGCAAGGCUUGCUUGGCCAGUCUUCCACAUCACGCCGGAUGCCUCUCUCAGAAUCUCCUGUGUGGCCUCAGCUCACCGCCUCCCUCCCCACCUCCCUCACACCAGAUGAGCCACAGACGGCUAAGUAGGCAGCGAACACUUCUCAAGAUGUUUUCAUUGAUUUUGCCAACACUCAGCUGCUUUAUCGGCUCUGAUGAAACAUUUGUGACAACCACAGCAAUUGCAGUGAUCAUUUCCAUGCUGAAAACAUUUGCCUACAAAGCAGACAUUUUCCUCUUCAAAGUAAACACUGGUGCUGUCGAGAAGCUGCCAUCCAUACCCACACAUGCAACCGCUUCCUUAGAAUUCAGAAUGUCCAGAGGGCAAAACCCUGACAAGCUCUGAGUGAGGA